AAGCGGGAAAAGCUCAAAUUUAAAAUCUGACCAGUCUUGGCUGUCCGAAUGUAAUCUAGAGAAGCGUUAUCCGCGUUGGACCGUGUACAAGUCUCUGGAAUGGGGCGUCAUAGAGGGUGAGAAUCCCGUCUUUGACACGGACUGCCCAGGGCUUUUGUGAUGCGCUCUCAAAGAGUCGAGUUGUUUGGGAAUGCAGCUCAAAAUGGGUGGUAAAUUCCAUCUAAAGCUAAAUAUUGGCGAGAGACCGAUAGCGAACAAGUACCGUGAGGGAAAGAUGAAAAGAACUUUGGAAAGAGAGUUAAACAGUACGUGAAAUUGCUGAAAGGGAAACGCUUGAAGUCAGUCGCGUUGUCCAGGGAUCAACCUUGCUGUUGCUUGGUGUACUUCCUGGCUGACGGGUCAGCAUCAGUUUUGAUCAUUGGAAAAAGAUCAUGGGAAUGUGGCAUCUUCGGAUGUGUUAUAGCCUUUGGUUGCAUACAAUGGUUGGGAUUGAGGAACUCAGCACGCCGCAAGGCCGGGUGUCUCACCACGUACGUGCUUAGGAUGCUGGCAUAAUGGCUUUAAUCGACCCGUCUUGAAACACGGACCAAGGAGUCUAACAUGCCUGCGAGUGUUUGGGUGGAAAACCCGAGCGCGUAAUGAAAGUGAAAGGUUGAGAUCCCUGUCGUGGGGAGCAUCGACGCCCGGACCAGACCUUUUGUGACGGUUCCGCGGUAGAGCAUGUAUGUUGGGACCCGAAAGAUGGUGAACUAUGCCUGAAUAGGGUGAAGCCAGAGGAAACUCUGGUGGAGGCUCGUAGCGAUUCUGACGUGCAAAUCGAUCGUCAAAUUUGGGUAUAGGGGCGAAAGACUAAUCGAAC
rnacentral:rRNA from 1 species